GAUGAACGCUGGCGGCGUGCCUAAUACAUGCAAGUCGAGCGAAUGGAUUAAGAGCUUGCGCUUAUGAAGUUAGCGGCGGACGGGUGAGUAACACGUGGGUAACCUGCACAUCAGACUGGGAUAACUUCGGGAAAACGCGGCUAAUACCGGAUAACAUUUUGAACCGCAUGGUUCGAAAUGGAUAGGCGGCUGUGGUUGUCAAUUACGGCUGGACCCGCGUCGUAUUAGCUAAUUGGUGAGGUAACGGCUCACCAAGGCAACGAUGCGUAGCCGACCUGAGAGGGUGAUCGGCCACACUGGGACUGGGACACGGCCCAGACUCCUACGGGAGGCAGCAGUAGGGAAUCUUCCGCAAUGGACGAAAGACUGACGGAGCUACGCCGCGUGAGUGAUGAAGGCUCUCGGGUCGUAAAACUCUGUUGUUAGGGAAGAACAAGUGCUAGUUGAAUAAGCUGGCACCUUGAUGGUACCUAACCAGAAAGCCACGGCUAACUACGUGCCAGCCGCCGCGGUAA
rnacentral:rRNA from 1 species